rnacentral:rRNA from 1 species
CGCUAAGCGCGCCGCCUGGGGAGUACGGCCGCAAGGCUAAAACUCAAAGAAAUUGACGGGGACCCGCACAAGCGGUGGAGUAUGUGGCUUAAUUCGAUGCAACGCGAAGAACCUUACCUGGGCUUGACAUGCCGUCAUAGUCUGUGAAAGCAGAUGUCAGUUCGGCUGGACGUGCACAGGUGCUGCAUGGCCGUCGUCAGCUCGUGUCGUGAGAUGUUUGGUUAAGUCCAGCAACGAGCGCAACCCCUGCGUUUAGUUACCAGCACAUAAUGGUGGGGACUCUAGACGGACUGCCCAGAUCAACUGGGAGGAAGGUGGGGACGACGUCAGGUCAGUAUGGCCCUUAUGCCCAGGGCUGCACACGUACUACAAUGCCCGGUACAAUGGGAGCCGAAGCCGCGAGGUUGAGGAAAUCCACAAAACCGGGCUCAGUUCGGAUUGGAGGCUGCAACUCGCCUCCAUGAAGUUGGAAUCGCUAGUAAUGGCACAUCAGCUACGGUGCCGUGAAUACGUUCCCGGGUCUUGUACACACCGCCCGUCACAUCAUGGAGCCGGUCGCACCCGAAGUGUUUCCAGCAAGGAAGCCCUAAGGUGUAGCUGUAACUGGGAUGAAGU